rnacentral:rRNA from 1 species
UUUUCAGUGUCGCAGCGAAAGCGAUAAACACACCGCCUGGGGAGUACGACCGCAAGGUUAAAACUCAAAUGAAUUGACGGGGACCCGCACAAGUAGUGGAGCAUGUGGUUUAAUUCGAAGAUACGCGCAGAACCUUACCAACACUUGACAUGUUCGUCGCGACUCUAAGAGAUUAGAGUUUUCGGUUCGGCCGGACGAAACACAGGUGCUGCAUGGCUGUCGUCAGCUCGUGUCGUGAGAUGUUGGGUUAAGUCCCGCAACGAGCGCAACCCUCACUUUUAGUUGCCAUCAUUAAGUUGGGCACUCUGAAAGAACUGCCAGUGAUAAGCUGGAGGAAGGUGGGGAUGACGUCAAGUCCUCAUGGCCCUUACGUGUUGGGCUACACACGUGCUACAAUGGUAUCUACAACAGGAAGCGAGGCUGCGAGGUCAAGCAAAUCCUUAAAAGAUACCUCAGUUCGGAUUGCACUCUGCAACUCGAGUGCAUGAAGCUGGAAUUACUAGUAAUCGUGGAUCAGCGUGCCACGGUGAAUGCGUUCCCGGGUCUUGUACACACCGCCCGUCACACCAUGGGAGUUGGUUCUACCUUAAGGCAAGGUUUUAAACCCUUGACCACGGUAUAGUCAGCGACUGGGGUGAAGUCGUAACAAGGUAGCCGUAGGGGAACCUGCGGCUGGAUUACCUCCUU